CAGUCGCCGCGGUAAAACGUAGGGUGCGAGCGUUAAUCGGAUUUACUGGGCGUAAAGCGUGCGCAGGCGGCCCGUUAAGACAGGUGUGAAAUCCCUGGGCUCAACCUAGGAAUUGCGCUUGUGACUGGCGGGCUCGAGUACGGUAGAGGGGGGUGGAAUUCCUGGUGUAGCAGUGAAAUGCGUAGAGAUCAGGAGGAACACCGAUGGCGAAGGCAGCCCCCUGGGCCUGUACUGACGCUCAUGCACGAAAGCGUGGGGAGCAAACAGGAUUAGAUACCCCGGUAGUCCCUGUCUCUUAUAA
rnacentral:rRNA from 1 species